GAGGCGUGACGACGAGGCACUACGGUGCUGAAGCAACAAAUGCCCUGCUUCCAGGAAAAGCCUCUAAGCAUCAGGUAACAUCAAAUCGUACCCCAAACCGACACAGGUGGUCAGGUAGAGAAUACCAAGGCGCUUGAGAGAACUCGGGUGAAGGAACUAGGCAAAAUGGUGCCGUAACUUCGGGAGAAGGCACGCUGACACGUAGGUGAAGUGAUUUACUCAUGGAGCUGAAGUCAGUCGAAGAUACCAGCUGGCUGCAACUGUUUAUUAAAAACACAGCACUGUGCAAACACGAAAGUGGACGUAUACGGUGUGACGCCUGCCCGGUGCCGGAAGGUUAAUUGAUGGGGUCAGCGCAAGCGAAGCUCCUGAUCGAAGCCCCGGUAAACGGCGGCCGUAACUAUAACGGUCCUAAGGUAGCGAAAUUCCUUGUCGGGUAAGUUCCGACCUGCACGAAUGGCGUAAUGAUGGCCAGGCUGUCUCCACCCGAGACUCAGUGAAAUUGAACUCGCUGUGAAGAUGCAGUGUACCCGCGGCAAGACGGAAAGACCCCGUGAACCUUUACUAUAGCUUGACACUGAACAUUGAGCCUUGAUGUGUAGGAUAGGUGGGAGGCUUUGAAGUGUGGACGCCAGUCUGCAUGGAGCCGACCUUGAAAUACCACCCUUUAAUGUUUGAUGUUCUAACGUGGACCCGUUACCCGGGUUGCGGACAGUGUCUGGUGGGUAGUUUGACUGGGGCGGUCUCCUCCUAAAGAGUAACGGAGGAGCACGAAGGUUGGCUAAUCCUGGUCGGACAUCAGGAGGUUAGUGCAAUGGCAUAAGCCAGCUUGACUGCGAGCGUGACGGCGCGAGCAGGUGCGAAAGCAGGUCAUAGUGAUCCGGUGGUUCUGAAUGGAAGGGCCAUCGCUCAACGGAUAAAAGGUACUCCGGGGAUAACAGGCUGAUACCGCCCAAGAGUUCAUAUCGACGGCGGUGUUUGGCACCUCGAUGUCGGCUCAUCACAUCCUGGGGCUGAAGUAGGUCCCAAGGGUAUGGCUGUUCGCCAUUUAAAGUGGUACGCGAGCUGGGUUUAGAACGUCGUGAGACAGUUCGGUCCCUAUCUGCCGUGGGCGCUGGAGAACUGAGGGGGGCUGCUCCUAGUACGAGAGGACCGGAGUGGACGCAUCACUGGUGUUCGGGUUGUCAUGCCAAUGGCACUGCCCGGUAGCUAAAUGCGGAAGAGAUAAGUGCUGAAAGCAUCUAAGCACGAAACUUGCCCCGAGAUGAGUUCUCCCUGAGACUUAGAGUCUCCUGAAGGAACGUUGAAGACG
rnacentral:rRNA from 1 species